CCUACGGGGGGCAGCAGUGAGGAAUAUUGGUCAAUGGGCUUACGCCUGAACCAGCCAAGUCGCGUGAGGGAAGACUGCCCUAUGGGUUGUAAACCUCUUUUGUCAGGGAGCAAUUGGCGCUACGUGUAGCGUUAUCGAGAGUACCUGAAGAAAAAGCAUCGGCUAACUCCGUGCCAGCAGCCGCGGUAAUACGGAGGAUGCGAGCGUUGUCCGGAAUGACUGGGCGUAAAGGGAGUGUAGGCGGCAUAUUAAGUUAUGUGUGAAAGCCCGCGGCUCAACCGCGGAAUUGCACAUAAAACUGGUAAGCUGGAGUGCAGGAGAGGUAAGUGGAAUUCCCGGUGUAGCGGUGGAAUGCGUAGAUAUCGGGAGGAACACCAGAGGCGAAGGCGACUUACUGGACUGUAACUGACGCGGAGGCUCGAAAGCGUGGGGAGCAAACAGGAUUAGAUACCCCGGUAGUC
rnacentral:rRNA from 1 species